rnacentral:lncRNA from 1 species
GGAAUCGAUAUGCUGUACUUAAAUGGGGCUGUUAACACUGCCCCAAAACAAGACAGAAAUCACACCAUUUAUCAUAGAAAUCGACUUUUCUCCAACAUGUAUUGCCAAGAUAUAUCCAUCUUACUUUGAACUUGGAAUGUGGUGCAGCACAGAAAUCAAAAUAAGUAUUCAGCAAGGCUUUGGAAGGUCAGUCCUCCACAGUGAUCUGCAGCAGAUUGCCUUGCUGUUUGGCACCUCACAUGGGGCACCAUUGUCACAGCAACAGUGGGGUGCUGUAGUUUGGAUCUUAAAUGCCCC